GACGAACGCUGGCGGCGUGCCUAAUACAUGCAAGUCGAGCGCAGGAAGUCGACGGAACCCCUCGGGGGGGAAGUCGACGGAAUGAGCGGCGGACGGGUGAGUAACACGUAAAGAACCUGCCCUCAGGUCUGGGAUAUCCACGAGAAAUCGGGGCUAAUACCGGAUGGGUCAUCGGACCGCAUGGUCCGAGGAUGAAAGGCACUCCGGCGUCGCCUGGGGAUGGCUUUGCGGUGCAUUAGCUAGUUGGUGGGGUAAUGGCCCAACAAGGCGACGAUGCAUAGCCGACCUGAGAGGGUGAUCGGCCACACUGGGACUGAGACACGGCCCAGACUCCUACGGGAGGCAGCAGUAGGGAAUCUUCCACAAUGGACGAAAGUCUGAUGGAGCAACGCCGCGUGAACGAUGAAGGCCUUCGGGUCGUAAAGUUCUGUUGUAAGGGAAGAACAAGUGCCGCAGGCAAUGGCGGCACCUUGACGGUACCUUGCGAGAAAGCCACGGCUAACCACGUGCCAGCAGCCGCGGUAACAC
rnacentral:rRNA from 1 species